rnacentral:rRNA from 18 species
GUAGACCUCAGGUGAUGUGUGGUA